rnacentral:lncRNA from 1 species
CUAGACCUCCUCAUAGCUAUAGUUGGUGGUGGUUUCUCUCAUUUGACUUUCAUGUUUAAUUUUGCCUAGUGUAAAUGUUAUGGUUUGUUUAUUAUGGACGUUUGUAGUGAAAAGAAUACUUUAGAUGUUCGUGAAUUUGGUGGUGUUUUGAUGUUUAUGGUUUUUUAAUGAUUCGGGUGUUACAAUUCUUAGUGUUAUCCCAUUUUAUUCAUAUAUUGGCCACAUAGACAUUAUACAUAUAGAUAAUAUCUAAUAGAACUAAUAUACCAAAUUUUUCACAUUUAUUCACAUAAACAUUUUAUUCAUGUGAAACCUGGACAGCUAGAUGAGCAUAUAACUUCCAUUCUAUCUUGAAAAGAUCUUGAAUUCUUUUUCCUUGAAUAGCUCUUAAUGACAACAAUUUUUUUGAAUGGGACCCAAACCAUAAAACUAAAUUCUUUGGCAAUUGGGCCAACUCAUGGUACUGUUAAUAGAAUAAUAAGAACAUGUUGGAUGUUCUAACAAUUUAACUAUAAUUCAAUUUGUUCAAACUUGACGUCAUGAAAAGUAUUG